UAUAAUUUAGUAUAACAUGUAUAUAGAUUUUUGAUAUCUAGGGAAUAAAUUCAUUUUUAAUUAUAA
rnacentral:tRNA from 1 species